rnacentral:rRNA from 1 species
ACGGGUGAGUAACGCGUGAGCAAUCUGCCUUUAAGAGGGGGAUAACACCGGGAAACCGGUGCUAAUACCGCAUAAGACCACGGUGUCGCAUGGCACAGGGGUAAAAGGAGCAAUCCGCUUAAAGAUGAGCUCGCGUCCCAUUAGCUAGUUGGUGAGGUAACGGCUCACCAAGGCUGCGAUGGGUAGCCGACCUGAGAGGGUGAUCGGCCACACUGGAACUGAGACACGGUCCAGACUCCUACGGGAGGCAGCAGUGGGGAAUAUUGGGCAAUGGAGGCAACUCUGACCCAGCAACGCCGCGUGAGGGAAGAAGGUUUUCGGAUUGUAAACCUCUGUCCUUGGGGACGAAGAAAGUGACGGUACCCAAGGAGGAAGCCCCGGCUAACUACGUGCCAGCAGCCGCGGUAAUACGUAGGGGGCGAGCGUUGUCCGGAAUUACUGGGCGUAAAGGGUGCGUAGGCGGUUCUUUAAGUCAGAUGUGAAAUCCCCGGGCUUAACUCGGGUGUUGCAUUUGAAACUGGGGGACUAGAGUGCAGGAGAGGGAAGCGGAAUUCCUAGU